rnacentral:rRNA from 1 species
GUCGCACGGGUGUAGCAAUACAUCAGUGGCGAACGGGUGAGUAAUGAAUCGCUAACGUGCCCCGGACACUGGGAUAGCUGACCGAAAGGUCAGGUAAUACCAGAUAAUAUGACCUUGUCGCAUGGCAGGGUCCUCAAAGGUCCGCCGGUCUGGGAGCGGGCGAUUUCGUAUCAGCUAGUUGGUAGGGUAACGGCCUACCAAGGCGACGACGCGUAGCCGGACUGAGAGGUUGGCCGGCCACAUUGGGACUGAGACACUGCCCAGACUCCUACGGGGGGCUGCAGUAACGAAUCUUCCGCAAUGCACGAAAGUGUGACGGAGCGACGCCGCGUGUGGGACGAAGCCCUUCGGGGUGUAAACCACUGUCAGGGGAAAGAAAGUUCUGAUCUACCCCAGAGGAAGAGGCGGCUAACUCUGUGCCAGCAGCCGCGGUAAUACAGAGGCCUCGAGCGUUAGGCGGAAUCACUGGGCUUAAAGCGUGUGUAGGCGGACUUCUAAGUACCUUGUGAAAUCCCACGGCUCACCCGUGGAACUGCUUGGUAUACUGGUUGUCUUGAGCCUUCUAGGGGCGAGCGGAACAAAUGGUGGAGCGGUGAAAUGCGUAGAUAUCAUUUGGAACGCCAAUGGUGAAAACAGCUCGCUGGGGAAGUGCUGACGCUGAGACACGAAAGCCAGGGGAGCGAACGGGAUUAGAUACCCCGGUAGUCCUGGCCGUAAACGAUGUCGACUAGAUCGUGGUGCCUCUGACGGUUUCACGGUCGA